rnacentral:rRNA from 1 species
GACGAACGCUGGCGGCGCGCUUAACACAUGCAAGUCGAACGGAAAGGCCCUGCUUUUGUGGGGUGCUCGAGUGGCGAACGGGUGAGUAACACGUGAGUAACCUGCCCUUGACUUUGGGAUAACUUCAGGAAACUGGGGCUAAUACCGGAUAGGAGCUCCUGCUGCAUGGUGGGGGUUGGAAAGUUUCGGCGGUUGGGGAUGGACUCGCGGCUUAUCAGCUUGUUGGUGGGGUAGUGGCUUACCAAGGCUUUGACGGGUAGCCGGCCUGAGAGGGUGACCGGCCACAUUGGGACUGAGAUACGGCCCAGACUCCUACGGGAGGCAGCAGUGGGGAAUAUUGCACAAUGGGCGGAAGCCUGAUGCAGCAACGCCGCGUGCGGGGUGACGGCCUUCGGGUUGUAAACCGCUUUCGCCUGUGACGAAGCGUGAGUGACGGUAAUGGGUAAAGAAGCACCGGCUAACUACGUGCCAGCAGCCGCGGUGAUACGUAGGGUGCGAGCGUUGUCCGGAUUUAUUGGGCGUAAAGGGCUCGUAGGUGGUUGAUCGCGUCGGAAGUGUAAUCUUGGGGCUUAACCCUGAGCGUGCUUUCGAUACGGGUUGACUUGAGGAAGGUAGGGGAGAAUGGAAUUCCUGGUGGAGCGGUGGAAUGCGCAGAUAUCAGGAGGAACACCAGUGGCGAAGGCGGUUCUCUGGGCCUUUCCUGACGCUGAGGAGCGAAAGCGUGGGGAGCGAACAGGCUUAGAUACCCUGGUAGUCCACGCUGUAAACGGUGGGUACUAGGUGUGGGGUCCAUUCCACGGGUUCCGUGCCGUAGCUAACGCUUUAAGUACCCCGCCUGGGGAGUACGGCCGCAAGGCUAAAACUCAAAGGAAUUGACGGGGCCCCGCACAAGCGGCGGAGCAUGCGGAUUAAUUCGAUGCAACGCGUAGAACCUUACCUGGGUUUGACAUGGAUCGGGAGCGCUCAGAGAUGGGUGUGCCUCUUUUGGGGUCGGUUCACAGGUGGUGCAUGGCUGUCGUCAGCUCGUGUCGUGAGAUGUUGGGUUAAGUCCCGCAACGAGCGCAACCCUUGUUCACUGUUGCCAGCACGUUAUGGUGGGGACUCAGUGGAGACCGCCGGGGUCAACUCGGAGGAAGGUGGGGAUGACGUCAAGUCAUCAUGCCCCUUAUGUCCAGGGCUUCACGCAUGCUACAAUGGCUGGUACAGAGAGUGGCGAGCCUGUGAGGGUGAGCGAAUCUCGGAAAGCCGGUCUCAGUUCGGAUUGGGGUCUGCAACUCGACCUCAUGAAGUCGGAGUCGCUAGUAAUCGCAGAUCAGCAACGCUGCGGUGAAUACGUUCCCGGGGCU